rnacentral:rRNA from 1 species
ACGCACGCUGGCGGCGUGCUUAACACCUGCAAGUCGAACGAAGAGCGAUGGAAGCUUGCUUCUAUCAAUCUUAGUGGCGAACGGGUGAGUAACGCGUAAUCAACCUGCCCUUCAGAGGGGGACAACAGUUGGAAACGACUGCUAAUACCGCAUACGAUCUAAUCUCGGCAUCGAGGAUAGAUGAAAGGUGGCCUCUACAUGUAAGCUAUCACUGAAGGAGGGGAUUGCGUCUGAUUAGCUAGUUGGAGGGGUAACGGCCCACCAAGGCGAUGAUCAGUAGCCGGUCUGAGAGGAUGAACGGCCACAUUGGGACUGAGACACGGCCCAGACUCCUACGGGAGGCAGCAGUGGGGAAUCUUCCGCAAUGGACGAAAGUCUGACGGAGCAACGCCGCGUGAGUGAUGACGGCCUUCGGGUUGUAAAGCUCUGUUAAUCGGGACGAAAGGCCUUCUUGCGAAUAGUGAGAAGGAUUGACGGUACCGGAAGAGAAAGCCACGGCUAACUACGUG